GAAAUCAAAUGAGAAGAUGGAUUGAUAACCAAGAUCGCUUGAUUGUGGAAGCCGUACAAGGCACCGCAAGCUAUCCGUCGGGGGCUGGUCGUGACUGAAACUUUUUCAACCUAUGAAUAUAACUGCCCGGCCCUCGUUCAACGACUAGUUUCAAACUACAAAUAGAUGCCCAAGUUUGCAACGCUAGGCGGAAAUGAUAUUAUUGAAUACGACGAAGGAAGAUGCUUUCAAAAUACGCUUGGAACACAAUUUGGCUACUUUUGUACGAAACAUUCCAAUCAGUGAUCGUCUCCAGAACGUGCUAAUUAUCCUCCACCAGAACCAGGUUCAACAGUUGAUCAUGAACUAGAAUAAAUUUUAAAUUUGGAAGAUACAUUCAUCUAUCAAGUAAAUGUUACAAAGUUCUUUUUUGUUUUUGCGCCGACCGGAAUUGGGUUCUGUAUAUAAGUGUAUUCGUACCUGCAUGUCAAGUACGACUUUGAAAUGGAUUAAAAAUAAAGUUCAAAUAUUUAAAUAUCGUUGCACGGCUGAAAACGAAUUUCUUGCUCCUUGUAGAAUAAUACUGAUAUACCGGUUUGACUCAGAUUUAUCAUUUAUAUUUCAAUACUGAAUUUUGAUGAUUUAACUGAUAAAAUGUUUCGCACAGACGAAUUUAAUGACUGCAAACUUUGCUACUUUUUUAAAACUUAU